rnacentral:rRNA from 1 species
CAGUCGCCACGGGAAUACAGAGGGUGCGAGCGUUAAUCGGAUUUACUGGGCGUAAAGCGUGCGUAGGCGGCUAAUUGAGUCGGAUGUGAAAUCCCCGAGCUUAACUUGGGAAUUGCAUUCGAUACUGGUUAGCUAGAGUGUGGGAGAGGAUGGUAGAAUUCCAGGUGUAGCGGUGAAAUGCGUAGAGAUCUGGAGGAAUACCGAUGGCGAAGGCAGCCAUCUGGCCUAACACUGACGCUGAGGUACGAAAGCAUGGGGAGCAAACAGGAUUAGAUACCCCUGUAGUCCCUGUCUCUUAUAC